CGCUAUCACUCCUACGGGAGGCAGCAGUGGGGAAUAUUGCACAAUGGGCGCAAGCCUGAUGCAGCCAUGCCGCGUGUAUGAAGAAGGCCUUCGGGUUGUAAAGUACUUUCAGCAGUGAGGAAGGCAGGUACGUUAAUAGCGUGCUUGUUUGACGUUAGCUGCAGAAGAAGCACCGGCUAACUCCGUGCCAGCAGCCGCGGUAAUACGGAGGGUGCGAGCGUUAAUCGGAAUUACUGGGCGUAAAGCGCAUGCAGGUGGUUUGUUAAGUCAGAUGUGAAAGCCCGGGGCUCAACCUCGGAAUUGCAUUUGAAACUGGCAGACUAGAGUACUGUAGAGGGGGUAGAAUUUCAGGUGUAGCGGUGAAAAUGCGUAGAGAUCUGAAGGAAUACCAGUGGCGAAGGCGGCCCCCUGGACAAAGACUGACGCUCAGAUGCGAAAGCGUGGGGAGCAAACAGGAUUAGAUACCCUGGUAG
rnacentral:rRNA from 1 species